rnacentral:rRNA from 1 species
CAGGUGUUGCAUGGCUGUCGUCAGCUCGUGCCGUGAGGUGUUCGGUUAAGUCCGCUAACGAGCGCAACCCUUGCUGUAUGUUAUAAGUAUCAUACGGGACUGCCGGUGAAAAGCCGGAGGAAGGUGAGGAUGACGUCAAGUCAGCAUGACCUUUAUGUCCUGGGCUACACACACGCUACAAUGGGCAGUACAACAGGUAGCGAAGCCGCGAGGCGGAGCCAAUCCACCAAAACUGUCCUCAGUUCAGAUUGCAGGCUGCAACUCGCCUGCAUGAAGAUGGAGUUGCUAGUAAACGUGCGUCAGCUAUAGCGCGUUGAAUACGUUCCCGGGUCUU